UGGCUCAGAACGAACGCUGGCGGCAGGCCUAACACAUGCAAGUCGAGCGCCGUAGCAAUACGGAGCGGCAGACGGGUGAGUAACGCGUGGGAACGUGCCCUUCGGUUCGGAAUAACCCAGGGAAACUUGGGCUAAUACCGGAUACGUCCGAGAGGAGAAAGAUUUAUCGCCGAAGGAUCGGCCCGCGUAAGAUUAGCUAGUUGGUGAGGUAACGGCUCACCAAGGCUAUGAUCUUUAGCUGGUCUGAGAGGACGAUCAGCCACACUGGGACUGAGACACGGCCCAGAGUCCUACGGGAGGCAGCAUUGGG
rnacentral:rRNA from 1 species